AACAGACAAACCCCAGCCCUGAGGGCUGGUUUGGAGGAAGGCUGGGUUUCGGCUAGGGUUUUCACUCCUGCGCCCAGACCUGCGGCUCCUGCGCCCUGAGCCCGGCAGAGGGCGCUGCGCCCACGCGCGUCCCCAGCUCCCCAGCGCCGGCCGGGAAGUGGGGCCGUGGCACCCAGGCCGGGCGGACGCGAAUGGUGACACGUGGCCGAGGUCGGAAGCCGUGAGGUCUGGCGUCAGCGCCCGGUGGAAAACAAAGUGCUUCUGCUGGGCAGGCCGGAGUAACCGAGGUCAGGUGCCUGACUCCUACAAGUCAAGAUGCUCUUGGGUGAAGGUCCUAACCCUGGGUGAUGCGGUCUGAUGAAGUCUACACCCCUGAAGUAAGCAGACGAGAGGCUGCUAGGAUGUUGCACUGUCCUCUCUACUUUGAGAGGAGCACAGUGUCAGUCGGACUUUUAUCACGUACCUCUCGUCCCUUCUGUGGACUGUUUGCAUAAUGGAAACUUCCUGUCUGUAUCUUCAGCAUCUGAUUGUCCACUGUUGCUCAAGUGCAUGUGGCCAUGCUUCACUGACUCAUAUCUGAUGCCUCUGAUAGAACCAGUGACUGUGGAAUGGAAAGAAGACGGCAUGGAAAGCCCAGCGAGUGUCCCACGGGCCUGCCCUGCGGCUUUCUGCUGAUUCUUCAGGACAAGUUGCAAGAAGUUUAAUUUUCAGAACGAGCAGUUCUGUUCACUUUCCUUAUUUGUGCUGCAUUGGAAAAAGGACACAGUGUGUGAUAAAGCAGAAGGGCACGGGGUGUGGCCAGUGUCCUAGGCCAGCGCUGGCAAACCCACGGCACCUGUGCUUAGCCGGCUGCUUGUCACUGCUGGGAGCUCUGAGAGUUUUGCCAUCACUGGGCCAUUCUUUGCAAGGGCCCAUCAGCCCCACAUCUGCGGCCAGCCAAGGCCUGGCGGUGAAACAGCUGAGUCACAACUUUGCUGCUCCUCUACAAUUACAAGGUUAUCACUUCAUCUGACACAGAAGGGGUGUGGGGUGGAGACAAAACACACGUCAGGAAGAAGCGCAGAAGCGCAUGGAAAACAGAAAGCUGCUUUCCCAAAACUGUAGCUUAAGUUAUAAAACCCAGAGCAAUCGUCUCCCCUUUCCACCCCCUACUCAAUGGGAGAUGAAAACACAAAGUAAAUGGCACCAUAAAUUUCUCGGCCUAGCAACGCAUCUUGUAGUUACUGUGCCUCGAGUUCUCGGCAGCUGUGACCGCUCCUGCACGGUGCCGGCUGCCGUAUUCCUUCCCUUCUCCCGCUUUGCUGGCGAUCUCGCUGUCUCUCAGCACCUUAUUCUGAAUCACCUUCACUAGGAAGUGUGUUUGCCCCCUGUCUUGUCCUUUAGGGUAUUAAAAAGAAGAUUGUUGUUCUUAGGCCCUUCCCUGGAUAUGCCAGCUGUCUGCAUGGAGACCCAGCUGACUCCGAUUUCUUCCGGGGCAGAGGUAAUACCUUGGGAUGCAUUUUUAUCCACCUGCUUCUUCCUUCGCAUGGGCCAGCUGCAGUAUCAGCAACACCCAGUGUCAUCUCUAGCCACUGCCAGCCUUAUCUCCUCCCAGCUAAGCUAAGCACAAGCCCCCUUCCUUCACCCCAUGUGAACGCCACCCCCCCAAUAGCCAGGGCAUGCACACUAAUUAAAUUUUAUAUUCCACCUCUACCCAAACAUGACCUUGCCGAAGUCUCUCCCAUUAGAUGACAAAUCCUGGUGUUUCUAUUGCACGGUUGCUAUUUGCCACAUGCUUCCUGGAUGGGUUUCCAGGUAACCUUAAUGGUUGUGUGCUUCUAGGGAAGGAGGGGGAGAAAAUAACUCACCUCUUCAGUAAGUGGUUUUAAAAAUAUAACAGCAUUUAAAAGCUUUUAAAGAGCAUUUCUUUCCUUCCGGCUGCUCCGGCCCUGUUUGUUUUGUGACAGGCGCACCUGUGGUGCUUGUGAGUUUGGCAGCCUCUGGCUAGGGCAGCAGGCAGUUUGAAAGGACAGAGGAUUGAUUUUUGUCUUUGUAGGGCUUUCCAUGAGGGGUGUGGGAGAGGAAUUGCUUGGGGAAGUGCUGGUCAGGGAGGGGUACUUCUCCAUAUGCUCUUCCUUCAUGGGUAAGGCUAAGCAGCGUCUGACUCAGCCUGCGGAGCUGUUUGUCCUGGAAGUCCCAAGGAGGUGGCGGAGAGCGGGAAAGCAAGGGUUUGGGGCUCCCACAGCUUUUCUGCCCACUUUCAUUUCUCCUAAACUUGCUGGGGAAGUGCACCCAAAUUGCUCCUGUGUUUCGAUUUGAUGUGGCUGCAGAGGGACCGGGCACAGCUGGAUUCCAUGCUUCAGACUAAGCCUGACCGUCCCAUUGGAAACUGGAAGGUUUCGCCUCUUCCAGGGCUUAGGGUUUACUUUCCCCGCAGCAUUGAGCAAGGACCUCAUGUUUACAGAGAUCCCAGGUGUACUGGUUUCUUCCUGUCAGAGCAGAGAGAGGAGGAAGAGGGUCAGGGUGUGGAGGAGAUUUCACAACUGUCUUGGGGACAUAUUGGUGGAGUCGUGAAAAUAUACUUUAAAAAUACUCACAAUAAGCCAAAUCAUUAUAUCUUCUGUGUAUAGUUUUAUUUUUUCCAAAGCUAUUCGUAGCACCAUAAAAAAAAAUCCUGUAUACUAAAUGCUCUCUGAGAAA